ensembl:lncRNA
CUUUGCACUUAGGCUAUUUUUCAUAAUACCCCUUUUGUGUGGCUGAGGAAACUCCACAGACAAGGAACUGAGAUUUCCCACUAUUACAAUCUGAUCAGACGCAGUGUUAACUAUCGUCUAAAUCAUACCGAUACAUUUUAGAAGCUAAAUCUUUGUUCAAACAAAACAAAAAUAACUGGCUACAUAAAAAAGUAUCUUUCAGAAACAAGGAUUUCCACUGGUGCUGGUGAUGUGUGAAGCCUGGUUCCGUAUGGCACCCUUCAGGCGGGGGCCCUUCUCCUGUCAAGCUUGGAAUGGAGCCCCAUGCCGAGAGUGAGGGUCCACGCUCGACAGGGGAACUACACGACACUGUUGUUUCAGAAUCGCCACUUGAUUUACGCUCGUCACAGCGGAAAGGGGUCGUCAUGUCUCCAGACACCUUUCAAGAAUGCCUUUGACAAAAGAAGAACUUAUGGCUGGAUUGGGAAGCUGUCGCAAGGUUGUGAUGGACUUGCGAUGAACAGGAAACAUGGCAAGCACAUCACACACGACACUGCUGUUAAACUGGACAUGCCUGGACGUGUUGUGGACCAACCGAGAAUUGGACGUCCAUGAACAUCCACCGACGAAGGCACAACCACCGUGGUGUUGGCAAACAUAGUCCCCUAUGUAUGGAGACUUUUGGGACACCCUGUAGUUUUAAUCCCACUACAGUUAUGAACAGUCCUUGCUGAGGACAGAAUGAAAGC